AAUGUUAUCUAGUUUUGAAGGAAUAUACCUUCAUAGUUUGGUGAUGAUGGCAGAGAGGUCACACCCGUUCCCAUACCGAACACGGAAGUUAAGCUCUCUAGCGCCGAUGGUAGUUGGGACCUUGUCCCUGUGAGAGUAGGACGUCGCCAAGC
rnacentral:rRNA from 1 species